rnacentral:rRNA from 1 species
GUCGAACGAUGAAGCCUAGCUUGCUGGGUGGAUUAGUGGCGAACGGGUGAGUAACACGUGAGUAACCUGCCCCCUACUCUGGGAUAACCUCGGGAAAUCGGGGCUAAUACCGGAUAUGACUUCAUGCCGCAUGGUGUGGGGUGGAAAGUUUUUCGGUGGGGGAUGGACUCGCGGCCUAUCAGUUUGUUGGUGAGGUAAUGGCUCACCAAGGCGAUGACGGGUAGCCGGCCUGAGAGGGCGACCGGCCACACUGGGACUGAGACACGGCCCAGACUCCUACGGGAGGCAGCAGUGGGGAAUAUUGCACAAUGGGCGCAAGCCUGAUGCAGCGACGCCGCGUGAGGGAUGACGGCCUUCGGGUUGUAAACCUCUUUCAGUAGGGAAGAAGCGAAAGUGACGGUACCUGCAGAAGAAGCGCCGGCUAACUACGUGCCAGCAGCCGCGGUAAUACGUAGGGCGCAAGCGUUGUCCGGAAUUAUUGGGCGUAAAGAGCUUGUAGGUGGCUUGUCGCGUCUGCCGUGAAAAUCCAGGGCUUAACUCUGGACGUGCGGUGGGUACGGGCAGGCUAGAGUGUGGUAGGGGAGACUGGAAUUCCUGGUGUAGCGGUGAAAUGCGCAGAUAUCAGGAGGAACACCGAUGGCGAAGGCAGGUCUCUGGGCCAUUACUGACGCUGAGAAGCGAAAGCAUGGGGAGCGAACAGGAUUAGAUACCCUGGUAGUCCAUGCCGUAAACGUUGGGCAMUAGG